AAGAAAAAGUCUUAGAUCUUUGAUCUUUGAAAAAAACCCAAAAGUGUUGCGUUUAUAAUUUUGUUCAGCGUAGAUAAAAACAGAUGUUGUUGUCAUAAUUAUGAAAACAUUUUUACAGUGUGCAUCAUGGCAUUCUGGAUGAAGACCAAGCAAAUGUUGGAAGCAGAUUUGUUGAUGGAGUGUGAGAUCUGCGCUGAGCGUAUGGAGGUCAGAGAUCAGAUGUCCAUGCCAGGCCAGUUGUGGACAGCGUACACCCAGCCUGUGGGAUUUUGGUGCCAACCUGACAGCCCGUGCACUCCAGAGAGCUAUAUCCGGACAUGUGCGAGUGUGUGUAUCUGAAUCACAGACAAACCAACUGUGCAAAUAAAGGGUGGCAACGGUGGCUGGAGCACAGAAGAAGCAGACAUCCACACAGACACAAAGCCAUGAAGGUACAGUAGAUCUUCUGUUUCAGCACUGUCAGCAGUCAGGGUGAUGAGCACACGUGCACAAAGGCAUUUGUGCAGUCCUGAACACACUCUUACACACAAGGAAAUCACAUGGAACAAAGCAGAGCAGCGAGUGAUCAGAUGGUAUUGUAUUUGCCUAAUGGAAGUGUAGAGAUUGCAGCAGUGGUGUUGAGAUAAACGCUCUGGCCCUUUGUU